UUGGUGUUGCAAGAGGUCAUGUUGGAAAAUUGAUUUCCUAUGUGAAGUCCUAGAGGUCUCUUUGACAUAGAUUAUUGGAACCAAAAUAAAACCAAGAGAAAUUUCUUUGCUGACGGACUUGCAAGACUGAUUUUAGGAUGGUUUUGUUUUGGUCAAACUGGGCCUGACAGACAUUUUUAUUUGCAUGGAGUUUUUACUAUCAAUGAUAAAGUAAGCAAUUUGGCAAUAACAAAAUACAAUUUUCUUUUUAGUAAAUUUAUUUCCUAUGACAUUUCAACAUUUAACUUGGGUCAAUGAUUACACAUACCAACAUAUGUAAAAUAUAUAUAUAUACAUGUAAAUGUAAAAUGAGCAAGUUUAGAAUCACCGGGAAAAGGUAGUUGUUUCUGAAUCAACUAGAAAAUCAACAUGGCACAUAUAAUUACUGUAUAGAACAACAAAAUAAUAUAUAAUCACCGGGUUAUCAACAGGAAAAUAUCAUUACAAAGAUAUAUUUUACAAUCAACAGAGAAAUACCAUUGCAAAGAGAUAUUUUACAAUUAACAAAGAAAUACCAUUGCAAAGAGAUGUUUAACAUUCAACAGAGAAUUACCAUUGCAAAGAUAUGUUUUACAAUCAGCAAGAAGAUUGCAUUGCAAAGAGAUAUUUUACCUGAAUAAUCAUGAAAUAAUAUUAGAAAAAUUUGUACCAGAAUCAACAAGUUAAUUACUAUAACUUAUCUAAAUCAUCCAGGAAAUAAGGAACCUCUGAAUGAUUGGGAUAACAUAACAUCAAAAACAUGUGUAUCUUAAGGGGGUAGACCUUGGUACAGGGAGAUAACUCUUUAAAUCAGUUAUGUGUUUUUAAAAGUCAAGUUUCCUCAAUGAAUUUUAAGCAUUUACCUGAAACAGAUUGAAAAUAAUCUAUGUAUCCAAGAAGCUUAGAACAUAUUUAUGAAAAUGGCUGACACAAACAUACUGAUGAUUUUAAGAGUUAUUUCCCUUAACCUAGGUCUACCUCCUUAACUAAUAGGGAAAUACAUGUUAUAUUGUGGGUUCAGUUAUUUUAGUGGGUACUAGUUUAGGUGGAUUGGGGAAAUCUUGCAAAUUCAAGGAUAUUAAAUUUCUUGGCAAAGUUUUCAUACAUUCCUUUAGAAAAUUUGUAAAAAUUGUGGUUUGCCUGUUACCCAUGAAAAUUAGUAUCCAACAAAUAUUAAUGAAUCCACAGUAUUCUAAUUUGUCCAAGAUUCAUCUCUGAGAAUUAAGGAAAUUAUAUUACAAAUACUAAGGGUUCAUAUAAUUUCAUGGUAACAAUUUUCAGGGAUAUAAGAAUAUUGUAAGAUUUUUUUUUUAAAUUUGUCAUACAGGAAAUUCAUCUUCCUUUAAACAUCAGAAUUGCUGGUUCCCUUUUACACUACAGAUAAUCAUGAAUCCACUGUGGAUAAAUCUAAAUCACUACAGAUAAUCAUGAAUCCACUGUGGAUAAAUCUAAAUCACUAUAGAUAACCAUGAAUCCACUGUGGAUAAAUCUAAAUCACUAUAGAUAAAUUCCCUACAGUUGUUUCUAUAUAUAUAUAUAUACAUAUGAAAAAUAUCUAUAAUAUAUCAAUCAACAACAUCUUAAGAGUUAAGAGUCACAAAUUAAACAAAAUCAUGAAAAACAUCUAACAUAUGUGAAGUUACAUAUGAGUAAUUACAUAUGAGUAAUAACAUAUGAGAAGUUACAUAUGAGUACCAGUAAUAAUUUUGACAAUAUAAUUAAUGGAGGUAAGCAGUAGUUGUAUAUUUUGAUUUGAGAACACAACUCUCAUGAAAAUACCACUACACAUAUUACAUUGUAAUCAAUAAGUCUCACAACCUUUUUCAGUCAAAAUACAUGUUCUACUUAAAAGCAAGCAUGAUAUACUCAACAAGUAAAUGCUUUUGUGCAAAGAAAAAGACGGGGAGCUUUCAUAGAAAUAAAAAAAAAAUGGGUUUCAGUUUCCAACAGAUUUCCAGCUCUUCAUUACAGUAAAAGUAACUACAAAUCCAAUAAUAAUCUGUAUGGGGAAAUUUUGAAGUAGAGAUCAGUUGGAUGAAAUUUACAGCAUUAAACAACUAUUUAUUUAUCACCCCAAAAAAUUUUUACCUCUGAUUGCACAAGAUAACAAAAAUGGUAAUAUUUAAUUUUUUUUAUUUUAAGUUGAAAUUAUUUGGCAAUUACUUUGUAUUUCAACCUAAAUAUGACACUUUUUCUAUACCACAAAACAGCACAUGCAAAAUAGUUGUCGCAAAGAAUUGUAACCUUUGAAAUUGUUGUUGCGCACUAAAACCCCCAUGGGCACUUUCAAAACUUGGCAGGUAUUUUUUAGCAUAAAUACAUAGUAACUAGUAACCCACUUUACACUAGAAUAAGCAAUAUAUUAUAAAUGCAUAAUUUUACUGCAAUAAAAUAAGAUAUGAUCAUCUAUGACGUAGGAAGAUGAAUGCCAGUAUCAUAUAAUAUAAUAUCAAGGGAUAUGCAUCACUAAAAUCUGUACAUAUUGUAAAGUCAUUAUGUGAUCAUGUCACCGAUAAACAAGAAAAUGUCAUCAAAAAUUCGAUCAUAAGUCAGCAAAAAAAAAUAAUAAUAAUAAGCAAUAUAACAGCAUACUUUAUAUAUUUUUGUAAUAUAUGAAUGGGCAAGCGAAAUGUGCGGUUGAUUCUUAUUUUAUUUUGUCAAGAGCUGUUAAAAAAAGCCAGGUGUUGAAACCAAAAUUGCACAGCUGGAACUGAGAUAGUCCCUAAUAAUUCUAAUGAGUAUUGUAUUUUAAUGUUGAAAAAGAUGGGAUCUACCUUCACAGAACAUAUUUUUAUUAAUGGAUGAAAAAUUCUGAUUUCGGGAUUUGAUUCAUGUUUUUUACUUUAUUACUUCUGACAGCUUGUUUGACUAACUAAAUGAUAUUAAUCCAAAUCAUUAGGGAAAAUGUUGGAAAUUCAAAGCAUGUGUUGAAAAAAGUGUACACUUCGAGGAACUCAAAACAACAACUCAUAAAUUGUUAGCUGCAAGUCCAAAUCUUUGUCACCAAAUGUUUUUUCAUUCAAUUGGCACAUAUAUUUCCUACAUUUUCUUAAGUUUUUUUUUUAAUGUAUGCACACAUGUUGAUUGCAUGAUUGUUAUUUGCUUUAGUUAACAUCCAGGACAAAGUUUUUCUUUAAUAUUCAUCAUUAUACAUGUAUAAUUUCCAUAACUUGCUAUAAAUAAAGACUUAACAGAUUUAAUCAAAACAUUUUACUAUUUAUCUGUUCAUGGACAAAUGCUAUCUAAACCUGUUAAUGAAAGGAAACACAUGUUAUACAUGCAUCAAGAAACUUUUUUAAAAGGAGAGUUUAAUUUUAAUUAUUAAAUUACAUGCAUGAGGCGAUAUUAAGUACUGUAAGGUCUAUAUAAACAUUAUACCAACAUGUUACAUUUCUGGAAAAAGUACUUUCUAAAAUAAAAGAUAAGUGUAAGUACCAAAACUGACUAUAAUCAUCUAAUGCCUCAAAUAAAAAUAACUAACCUUCAAAAUUUUAAUCAAAUGCCUUUCUACAGGUGUGGUCAUUUUUUAGACAGUUUUGAAACAACGAAUAGCUAGAUGUGUAUGGACAAAAUAAAUGUCUGGCCUGUUGUUAAAUUCAGUUGAUGAUGAUUCAAUGAAAACAGAUUUGGGACCCACUAUUUUUUUUUUUUAAUUCAGUGUAAAUUGGUAAGAAAAGAAAAUGACGUGGUUUGACUGCCAAUGAGAUAACUAUCCAUUAAAGUAAUUAUGCUGUUGAUUAUUUCUUGAGUUUCCUAUAUUUGCAGUUCUGGAUCUUACAUUUAAAGUUUAAUAAUCUUCAUAUGUGUCACAUAAAGAUUAUCUUUUAAGACUUUAUAACUUAAAAGGCUGUCCAAGUAAAUAUCAGGCAAAUCCCAUGAUAUGGGUGGCACAACAUAAUUUUUUUCCCAACUGAAUUUUUGGUUCCAAUGCAAUGUUCAUAUCAUACAAAGGAUAUAUAUGUCAAAGAUAUUUUUGAAUCGACAGUGGAUGACUCAGAAACACAACAAAAUUUUGUACAAAAUAAAAAGUUAUCUCCCCUUUUCAAUGAAUUUCAGUGCUUUCUAUGUAUUUUUUUUCUCUUUAUUUGUUGCAGUUAAUUAAAAAAAACAAAAUCUAACUUUGAGAAAGAAUGAAUUUGUGAUAUGAAACAGAUGAAAAAUUUUGAAAACAAAAUAUGUUAUGUGCCAUACACUGCCUGGUUUUUCCAUGGACACCCUCUUAAUCAUAUGUAUCCUUUAUGUCUAACAAAUGAACCAUUUAACAGUCUCACUGUGGGGUAAAAUAUACUUCAAUUACAUUCUAAUAACUAUGGUUUUCUUUCUAUACCUCAAUAUUUGUAAAAGCUGUCUUAUAAUCCAAAAUAUAAUUAUAGAUUAUCGUUGAUCAUAUCAACAAGAUUGAUUUUCUAGCUUCAGCGGGUACAGCGAACACAGGAAAAGCAAUCGAGUUGAGAUGACCAAUUAUAAUCUGUUUAUCUCUAUAUAACCUAUAAGACGUUGUCAAUUUCAUUAGCAACGCCACAUGCCUCCUUAGUUUCUAGCGAUAAUUUUUCAUCUCAAGCAAGUAGCAUGAUAUGAAGAAUUAUCACAGAAAAAGAUCAAAGGAAAACAUAACUUUCACAUUCACAUUACUUCAUUGAAUAAAACAGUCUUGUUCACCAUGAACAUAGAACAUAUAACAAUCGAUAAAAGCAUACUUCUAGGAGAGUAGCCUAAUACCCCUGGAUCAUAAACAAAGUAGGUUUUAUAUGCAAGAUUUUUUGUCAUAAAUGAAAUUACUAGGUUACAAAUUAAAUCUGGUGACCAGUAAAAAUUGAUCAAUAAAUUUCUGGUUAGCUUGAAAAAGUCAAUUCUAUCAUAACUUUAAAAAUAACUAAUUACAAAAACUCAAAAACAUUUUAAUGGGAAUCAACCCUGAUUUCAUAUUCACAAUAACAAAUAAAAAUAUAACUUUUCUAAUAUGGCACAAAUUAUUUCCAAAAAUAUAAAAUAAAGAAAUCUACAAUCAAUUGCACCCCACUUUAAAAUGCCCAUUGUAUACAAAACACGAGUUUUUCUUCUAACUAAAAUUGAGCAGACAUAAAUCAGUGUUGUAAAAUCACUUUUAUUCAUGACGUGUCAUUAAAAAAAGGUUUGUAUUCAUUCACUGAUUGACUUUCAAUUAAAAUCUCCCCUUUUAUUAUUUGGCAAUGUAUGGACUUUCAUUUACUUGAGUUAUCAAAAUACUCCUGCUCCUCUUAGAUGAGUAUGUCCAUGAAUAAAAGAUAUUUCACAAAACCUUUCACAAAUUUAUGAAAACUGGUAUCUACCUUUACUUGUACCUCCCUUGGUACCUUACAAACCAGUUCAUACCUGAGAGUAUUAUGAAGUUCUGAGUUUUCAAUAGAAUGAUAGGAAUUAAAAUUUGACUUUUGAAACAAGUUAAAAAUUUCUACUGGUUUGUACCAAAAUUAUGGUACUCAACUCCUUAGCUCAUCAAUGACAGGAAACCAGCAGUAUACACUUUUUAGUUAAGUUCAUACUGGAUCAUGGAGAACAUUCCAGUAAAAAUGAAUGCCAUCAAUGAAUUAAUAACUGGUUAUAACAGUACACAAUGAAUAAAUAACUGGUUAUAACAGUACACAAUGAAUAACUUAACUUAUGGUUUGCUCUGCAAGUCUAAUAAUUAGACACUCUAUAUUUAUUCUAUAUAAAGAAUAUUUUGAAAAAACAAAAACCUUAUAUCUGCCAAGGUCUAUCAAGAGAUAAUUACAGCUCAUACAAGUCCUAAGGGCCAGCUGAGGUCACAUGUAUGUCUGUGACGGCGCGGGACAUUUGCCCUUUUUCAUAGGAUAUUUGCACUUUUAUUUUUGGACGCUUGCGCUUCAAAUCAAAGAACAUAUGCACUUUUUAAAAAUGGACAUUAGUGCUUUUUACAAAGGACAUUUGCGCUUUUGUAAUAUUUGGUUUUUAUGACUAUCCUCCUCUUUUAUUCGGGCUUGGGACCCGGUUUGACCUGGCAGAGUUAAAAGUUUAAAAAUCAUUGCAUAGCACAUUUCUUAACACAUUGACAUAAUUUAAAAAGUUUACAUACAGCUAAAACUAGUAAAUGAAAACAUUCUAAAGACAUGAAAACACGUACAGUCAUCUCAGGUCAGUUAUCGUUUGAUACCUGAAGCCCAAGGACUGAAAAAAAAUAGCUCAUGCUAUCUGUUCUGUCUGGUAUUUCGCCCAUAUUUCAAAUAAAUAAUCAUGUUCCUUAAUUUUGAGGUGUCUGUUCAUCAAUAUAACAAAUCUUAAUGUAAUUCACAGACUGUUGUUAAUUGAUACUCUUCAAAAAGUAAAAAAAUAACAGAAUGAGUGAAUAGAACUGUUCAUUAAAGUGUGCAUGGAAGGAUUCUGCACCAUUUGUCGUAAUGAUGACAAAUAUAAGUUAAAUUCAUCUAUGUGAUAUUACUUCUCAUUAAAAUUACAGGUGGACAACUAUAGGUAAAAAGGGCAAAUGUCCGGUCAAUUUAAUACAGUUGAUUCAAAAUUUAAAGCGCAAAUGUCCAUAGUAUUUGAAGCACAAAUGUCCUAUCGUUUUACAGGUAAAAAAGCACAAACGUCAUGUGUCCGUCUGUGAUUAGAAAUUCAACAACAAUUAGUGAAAAUGCCUACCUAUAUAUCUGUAAACUGCAAAAGUUAAUAACCAGCAACAUGAAAAGCAGUACUUAUAUAAUGAUUCCCUGAAUAUUAUAACAUAUAUGGCACAUAAUAUGGCUACAUUUAAAUAAUGUAUAGUGUUCUGCUAUUAAAAUAGUAUAACACAUAUGGCACAAAAUAUGGCUACAUUACGUUAACGUAUGGUAUUUUCAGAGUUUGACCUGAGAAUUCAAGGCAAGGAGAGGUGCAAGUUUAUGAGUAUUGUGACAUUAAAAUACAUUUUGUUAUGAUUAAUCAUACCUGUCAACCUCUGAAAAAGGAAAAUGCAGGUCAAAAUUGAAGUUUAGUAUUUAUCUUUCUUAAGAAUGGUUUUAAUAGUUUUAUUCACACUGCUUUUCAAAAAUACAGUUCAUAAGCCUUAGCUAUAAUUACAAAUCAGUUAUGGCUAAAUGUUCUCCAUAAAACAGAAGGAAGAUAGAAGAAGUUAGUGUGUUUACUUCCAGUGCAAUAUCUGGCUCAAAGCUUUCAUAUUAACUAAAUUAAGCAGUUUAAAACAGUUUUUUUAUCAAGGUAACAAAGUUGAUAAAACUGAAUAUAUAUUUCACUACUAAAAACCAAAAUCCAUGAUGGGUGUUAUAAUACUUGAUAUGAUAGGAAAUUCAUGGAAGUGACCCACAAAUUAUGGGUCAGUUGACAGGUAUGAGUAAUAUGUUUAUGCUUAGUUAAAUGUAUUUAACUAUUUGGUUGAUUUCAGAAAAAUUAUUCAAAGAAAAUCGUUGAAACUUAAAUUCUCUGAAAAAACAUACAUUAUGUAUUUGUGGCCUACAAUAUCCUGUUUACAACUUGUCUGAAAAACAUCAAUAAACUAGAGGCUCUUAAGAGCCUGUGUCACUCACCUUGGUCUAUGUGCAUAUUAAACAAAGGACACAGAUGGAUUCAUGACAAAAUUGUGUUUUGGUGGUGGUGAUGUGUUUGAAAUUCUUACUUUACUGAAUGUUCUUUCGACUUACAAUUAUCUGUAUCUAUAAUGAACAGCAACCCAACAACCGGUUGUCCAAUUGAUCUGAAAAUUUCAGGGCAGAUAGAUAUUGACUUGAUAAACAAUUUAACCCCUGUCAUAUUUGCUCUAAAUGUUUUGGUUUCAGAGGUAUAAGCCAAAAUCUACAUUUUACCCCUAUGUUCUAUUUUUAGCCAUGGUGGCCAUCUUGGUUGGUUGGUUGGGUCACUGCACACAUUUUUUAAACUAGAUACCCCAAUGAUGAUUGUGGCCAAGUUUGGUUAAAUUUGGCCCUGUAGUUUCAGAGGAGAUUUUUGUAAAAGAUUAUAAAAAAUUUAUGAAAAAUUGGUAAAAAAUGACUAUAAAGGAUUGAAUAACUCCUUAACGGACAACUGACCACUUUGAUCAUGAUGACUUAUUUGUAGAUCUUACUUUGCUGAACAUUAUUGCUGUUUUCAGUUUAUCUCUAUCUAUAAUAGUAUUCAAGAUAAUAACCAAAAA
rnacentral:lncRNA from 1 species